GGGCGUAAAGCGCACGUAGGCGGCUUUGUAAGUCAGAGGUGAAAUCCCAGGGCUCAACCCUGGAACUGCCUUUGAUACUGGCGAUCUUGAGUGUGAGAGAGGUAUGUGGAACUCCGAGUGUAGAGGUGAAAUUCGUAGAUAUUCGGAAGAACACCAGUGGCGAAGGCGACAUACUGGCUCAUUACUGACGCUGAGGCGCGAAAGCGUGGGGAGCAAACAG
rnacentral:rRNA from 1 species